rnacentral:rRNA from 1 species
GCAGCCACUCAUUCAAAGAGUGCGUAAUAGCUCACUGGUCGAGUGAUCCUGCGCCGAAGAUUUCCGGGGCUAAAACUUACUACCGAAGCUACGGCAUCAGUAAUGAUGGGUAGGGGAGCUUCCCAUACGGGUGGAAGCAUGACCGUAAGGACAUGUGGACAGUAUGGGAGUGAGAAUGUUGGCAUGAGUAGCGAGAUGUGGGUGAGAA